rnacentral:rRNA from 1 species
CCCUACGGGACGCAGCAGUCGGGAAUAUUGCGCACUGGAGGAAACUCUGACGCAGUGACGCCGCGUGCAGGAAGAAGGUUUUCGGAUUGUAAACUGCUUUCGACAGGGAAGAAACAAGACAGUACCUGUAGAAUAAGCUCCGGCUAACUACGUGCCAGCAGCCGCGGUAAUACGUAGGGAGCAAGCGUUAUCCGGAUUUACUGGGUGUAAAGGGCGCGUAGGCGGGAUGGCAAGUCAGAUGUGAAAUCCAGGGGCUCAACCCCUGAACUGCAUUUGAAACUGUCGUUCUUGAGUACUGGAGAGGU